rfam:Sorghum bicolor cultivar BTx623 chromosome 3, whole genome shotgun sequence.
GUUGUCGAAUUUCUUUUAAUCCAUGUGUAUUGGUGUGGAUUGGGGUGGAAUUUAAUUUAAAUUCCACUUUAAUCCAUUUCAACACAUAUGGAUUUAUGUAAAUUCGACU